GAUCAGGACAAACGCUGUCGGCGUGCUCAAAAAAAUGCAAGUCGAACGAUGAACCACUUCGGUGGGGAUUAGUGGCGAACCGGUGAGUAACACGUGGGCAAUCUGCCCUGCACUCUGGGACAAGCCCUGGAAACGGGGUCUAAUACCGGAUACGACCAUCUUGGGCAUCCUUGAUGGUAGAAAGCUCCGGCGGUGCAGGAUGAGCCCGCGGCCUAUCAGCUUGUUGGUGAGGUAAUGGCUCACCAAGGCGACGACGGGUAGCCGGCCUGAAGGGCGACCGGCCACCCUGGGGACUGAGACACGGCCCAGACUCCUACGGGGAGGGCGGCAGUGGGGAAUAUUGCACCCUGCGCCGCACGCCUGAUGCACGACGCCCCCGUGAGGGAUGACGGCCUUCGGGUUGGAAACCUCUUUCGCCGGGAAGAACCGAAGUGAUGGUACCUGGAAAAAAGCCCCGGUAAUUCCUGCCACCCGGGAAAUAGCAGGGCACGUUGCCGAAUUAUGGGGAAUCAGGG
rnacentral:rRNA from 1 species